UAGUGGGGGAUAACGUCCGGAAACGGGCGCUAAUACCGCAUACGUCCUGAGGGAGAAAGUGGGGGAUCUUCGGACCUCACGCUAUCAGAUGAGCCUAGGUCGGAUUAGCUAGUUGGUGGGGUAAAGGCCUACCAAGGCGACGAUCUGUAACUGGUCUGAGAGGAUGAUCAGUCACACCGGAACUGAGACACGGUCCAGACUCCUACGGGAGGCAGCAGUGGGGAAUAUUGGAUAAUGGGCGAAAGCCUGAUCCAGCCAUGCCGCGUGUGUGAAGAAGGUCUUCGGAUUGUAAAGCACUUUAAGUUGGGAGGAAGGGCAGUAAGUUAAUACCUUGCUGUUUUGACGUUACCAACAGAAUAAGCACCGGCUAACUUCGUGCCAGCAGCCGCGGUAAUACGAAGGGUGCAAGCGUUAAUCGGAAUUACUGGGCGUAAAGCGCGCGUAGGUGGUUCAGCAAGUUGGAUGUGAAAUCCCCGGGCUCAACCUGGGAACUGCAUCCAAAACUACUGAGCUAGAGUACGGUAGAGGGUGGUGGAAUUUCCUGUGUAGCGGUGAAAUGCGUAGAUAUAGGAAGGAACACCAGUGGCGAAGGCGACCACCUGGACUGAUACUGACACUGAGGUGCGAAAGCGUGGGGAGCAAACAGGAUUAGAUANCCUGGUAGUCCACGCCGUAAACGACGUCGACUAGCCGUUGGGA
rnacentral:rRNA from 1 species